UUAUUGGGUCUUUGACACCUGUAAUAUUGAUAAUGUUAUCAUCAUAUUUACAAGUUUUCUAGCUAAAUUUUUAAAAAACUUAACAAUUCGAUAACUUAAAUAAAAUCAAACCUUUCGAAUAAUUUAUUAAUUUAAAUAAAAAUUUUAAAUAGUACAGUAACUAUUUUAUUAACUUUUAAAAUUAAAUGAUAAAAUCUUAUUAAUAAUUUAAUUACAUUUGGUGCAAUUUUCCCUUAAAAUAAUUGAAGAAUCCAAAUGUACGUUUACAAGAUAUAACAAUAACAAGAAGAACGUGUGGCUGACUUGUAAAAUCCGAUUUCAAGUACUUGGUUCUGCUAACCAAACGAGGAGGGGAUCAGCUGUGAGUGAUGUUUGGUUGGGAGAUGAAAUCGCCACCGUUGGUUGUGAUGUUAUGAUACGUUGUUUUUAGGGGCCCCAAUCCAUUGCAGUGAGCAGCACAGUGAAGCAGACUGACACAGAGUAGUAGGUAGCUGUUGAAGUUACUGAUCAAUCACUGUGUGACAGUGAGAAGCUGUAAACAAAUAAUAUUAACUACGGGAGCUUAAAGUAGCACUCCAGCUGUUUGCCUAAAUGCCACAAUGAAUCAAAAGGUCACAAAACCCCACGUUGAGAGGUUUUCAACGAUUGGACGCUUUGAUUUACUGUCACUCCCCAUUUCCAAUCCCACCUUUUCUUCUACAGGUUCAGAGUGGGGAGUAGGGGACCAUUGUGUUAAUUUAUAAGAAAGGAGACAAAAAAACUAUUUGGUCAAGACCCAUGGCCGACCAGCGAAGAGCAGCAUCGCCACCAUGUUAGGCGGUAUCUCUAUAGUCAAUGUAACUAGUCGAUCACGAUAACUAACCCCUACAGACAUGUUAUGUUUUUUUUUUUUUAAAUUUAAAUUGGUGUUACUAA